rnacentral:sRNA from 1 species
GCCGGGUGUUGUGGCGGGCGCCUGUGGUCCCAGCUACUUGGGAGGCGGAGGCAGGAGACUCGCUUGAGCCAGGAGUUGGAGGUUGCUGUGAGCUGUAAUGCCACGGCACUCUACCCAGGGGGACAGCUUGAGGCUCUGUCUAAAAAAAAAAAAAAAAAAAAGUUUCAUUGGUAAGAAAAAAAUUUUUUUUUGAGACAGAGCCUCAAGGUGUUGCCCUCGGUAGAGUGUCGUGGCAUCACAGCUCACAGCAACCUCCAACUCCUGGGCUCAAGC